rnacentral:ncRNA from 1 species
AAAUAAAAUUCUUUAUGGUUUGAUAAUUUAUUAUAAAUUUAUUUUACAUAUAAAUUUUAGUGUUAAAUAUUAAUUAUUUAAAUAAUAAUUAUUUAUUUUUAUAGUAAUUAAUAUUAAAUUAUUUAAGAAAUUAAGAUUUAGUAAUAUUUAAAUUAAUAACAAAUUUUGUGCCAGCAGUUGCGGUUAAACAAAAAUUAAAUUGAAUUUUAUUAGUGAUUAAUAAAUAAUUUAUUUAUAAAAAAAAUUUUAAAUUAUUAAGUGAAAUUUUAAUUUAAUUAAAAUUUAUGAUUAAUUUUUAUGAUUUAAUAAAUUUUUUAAAAAACUAGGAUUAGAUACCCUAUUAUUAAAAUUUAAAUUUAUAAUACUAAAAUAGUAGAUAAUUAUUUAUUGAAACUUAAAUAAUUUGGCGGUAUUUUAGUUCAUUUAGAGGAAUCUGUUUAAUAAUUGAUAAUCCACGAAUAAAUUUACUUAAUUUAAUAUUUUGUAUAUCGUUGUUAAAAAAAUAUUUUUAAAAAAAAUUAAUAUUUAAAAAUUAUGAUUUUAAUUUAAAUCAGAUCAAGAUGCAGAUUAUAAUUAAGAAUAUAAUGGAUUACAAUAAAUUUAUUUAUAUGAAUAUUAAUUUGUAAAAGUUAAUUGAAGGUGGAUUUAAAUGUAAUUUUAUUUAAUUUAUUAAAAUGAUUAAAAAUUAAAAUAUGUACAUAUUGCCCGUCACUUUCAUAUAAUAUAAUUAUAAAUAUAAUUAUAAUAAAUUGAAAUAAGUCGUAACAAAGUAGAGGUACUGGAAAGUGUUUCUAGAAAGAA